rnacentral:lncRNA from 1 species
GAGCUGAGGCGUCCUGGGUGCACCAGCUAGCCCACGGCACAGAGCCUGCCUGUUGGUCUCCACCCACAGCGGAUCCCCUGCUGCUCCAGCAUCAGAUUUGGGACGCCCCCCUCGCCCCAACCAGAGGGCAUCAGCGAUGCCUAGGACUUCCAUCCAUUGCUGAGCUCCUGACGACAAUAGCAGACGACAGGCUGCACCCUGAUCCCACCUGGCUGACAGGUGCUGUCACACAGGACUGCUGACUAACACUUUCAAGCACAGCGGACCCUUGAACAAGCAGGUGCAAACUGUGCGGGUCCACCCACAGGGAGGCUUUUCAAUCAGAAUUAUACAGGCCAGAGUGUCCCUGCCUCUCCUGCCUCCUUUCCCACCUCCUCCACUUCUUCCUCUCUGCCACCCUGAGGCAUCAAGACCAGCCCCUCCUCCUCAGCCACGCAACGUGAAGAUAACUAGGAUGAAGACUUUUAUGAUAAUGCACUUCCACUUAGUAAAUACUUUCUCUUAUGAUGUUAAUGACAUUUUAUUUUCCCUAGCUUAGUUUAUUGUAAGAAUACUA